UGAGCAACCUGCCCUUGGCCCUGGAAUAACAGCUGGAAACAGCUGCUAAUACCGGAUAUGACCUCCGAUGGCAUCAUCUGGAGGUGGAAAGCUCCGACGGUCAAGGAUGGGCUCGCGGCCUAUCAGCUUGUUGGUGGGGUAACGGCCUACCAAGGCGACGACGGGUAGCUGGUCUGAGAGGGUGACCGGCCACACUGGGACUGAGACACGGCCCAGACUCCGUAGGGAGG
rnacentral:rRNA from 1 species